rnacentral:rRNA from 1 species
AUUGAACGCUGGCGGCAUGCCUUACACAUGCAAGUCGAACGAUAGAGGGGGCAACCCCUUGAGAGUGGCGAACGGGUGAGUAAAGCAUCGGAACGUGCCCAGGAGUGGGGGAUAGCUCGGCGAAAGCCGGAUUAAUACCGCAUGUGACCUGAGGGUGAAAGCGGGGGACCGCAAGGCCUCGCGCUCGUGGAGCGGCCGAUGUCAGAUUAGGUAGUUGGUGGGGUAAAGGCCUACCAAGCCGACGAUCUGUAGCUGGUCUGAGAGGACGACCAGCCACACUGGGACUGAGACACGGCCCAGACUCCUACGGGAGGCAGCAGUGGGGAAUUUUGGACAAUGGGCGCAAGCCUGAUCCAGCCAUGCCGCGUGCGGGAAGAAGGCCUUCGGGUUGUAAACCGCUUUUGUCAGGGAAGAAAUCUGCCGGGUUAAUACCCUGGUGGGAUGACGGUACCUGGAGAAUAAGCACCGGCUAACUACGUGCCAGCCGCCGCAGUAA